rnacentral:tRNA from 1 species
CUUGUAGUAGCAUAAUGGUAAUGCACCUACCUUACAAGUAGGAUGAUCCAGGUUCAACUCCUGGCUAAAGAA